rnacentral:tRNA from 1 species
GCUACAUGGUGGCAAAUAUACUAGCACGUUGGAUUGCAAAUCUGAAGAUGUGGAAACACUGUAGCU